rnacentral:tRNA from 1 species
AGGAAUGUAGCGCAGCUUGGUAGCGCCCUUGUUUUGGGUAAAAAUUGUCACGGGUUUAAACCCUGUCAUCCCUA